rnacentral:rRNA from 1 species
UACGGAGGGGACUAGCGUUGUUCGGAAUUACUGGGCGUAAAGCGCACGUAGGCGGAUUUGUAAGUCAGGGGUGAAAGCCUGUGGCUCAACCACAGAAUUGCCUUUGAUACUGUUUGGCUAGAGACCGGAAGAGGUAAGUGGAACUGCGAGUGUAGAGGUGAAAUUCGUAGAUAUUCGCAAGAACACCAGUGGCGAAGGCGGCUUACUGGUCCGGUUCUGACGCUGAGGCGCGAAAGCGUGGGGAGCAAACAGG